UACGGAGGGUGCGAGCGUUGUCCGGAAUCAUUGGGCGUAAAGGGCGCGUAGGUGGCCCCUCAAGCGUGCGGUGAAAGUCGGGGGCUCAACCCCCGAUCGGCCGUGCGAACUGGGGGGCUGGAGCACUGUAGAGGCAGGCGGAAUUCCGGGUGUAGCGGUGGAAUGCGUAGAGAUCCGGAAGAACACCGGUGGCGAAGGCGGCCUGCUGGGCAGUUUUGCUGACACUGAGGCGCGACAGCGUGGGGAGCAAACAGG
rnacentral:rRNA from 1 species